rnacentral:rRNA from 1 species
AUUGAACGCUGGCGGCAGGCCUAACACAUGCAAGUCGAACGAGUGGCGGACGGGUGAGUAAUGUCUGGGAAACUGCCUGAUGGAGGGGGAUAACUACGGGAAACGUUAGCUAAUACCGCAUACCAUCAGAUGUGCCCAGAUGGGAUUAGCUAGUGGGUGGGGUAACGGCUCACCUAGGCGACGAUCCCGAGCUGGUCUGAGAGGAUGCCCAGCAACACUGGAACGGAGACACGGUCCAGACGCCUACGGGAGGCAGCAGUGGGGAAUAUUGCACAAUGGGCGCAAGCCUGAUGCAGCCAUGCCGCGUGUGUGAAGAAGGCCUUCGGGUUGUAAAGUACUUUCAGCGAGGAGGCGUUACUCGCAGAAGAAGCACCGGCUAACUCCGUGCCAGCAGCCGCGGUAAUUC